GAUGAACGCUGGCGGCGUGCCUAACACAUGCAAGUCGAACGGGGAUAUAUUGGAAUGAGGAUUCGUCUGAAGGAAAAUGUAUCUUAGUGGCGGACGGGUGAGUAACGCGUGGGCAACCUACCGUAUACAGGGGGAUAACACUUAGAAAUAGGUGCUAAUACCGCAUAAGCGCACAGCAGUGCAUACUGGAGUGUGAAAAGCCGAGACGGUAUACGAUGGGCCCGCGUCUGAUUAGCCAGUUGGCAGGGUAACGGCCUACCAAAGCGACGAUCAGUAGCCGGCCUGAGAGGGCGGACGGCCACAUUGGGACUGAGACACGGCCCAG
rnacentral:rRNA from 1 species